CCUACGGGUGGCAGCAGUGAGGAAUAUUGGUCAAUGGACGAGAGUCUGAACCAGCCAAGUAGCGUGAAGGAAGACUGCCCUAUGGGUUGUAAACUUCUUUUAUAAAAGAAUAAAACGAGGCACGUGUGCCGUUUUGCAUGUACUUGAUGAAUAAGGAUCGGCUAACUCCGUGCCAGCAGCCGCGGUAAUACGGAGGAUCCGAGCGUUAUCCGGAUUUAUUGGGUUUAAAGGGUGCGUAGAUGGGUUGUUAAGUCAGCUGUGAAAUUUUGCGGCUCAACCGUAACAUGGCAAUUGAUACUGGCAGACUUGAGUACACUUGAGGUAGGCGGAAUGCGCGGUGUAGCGGUGAAAUGCUUAGAUAUCGCGAAGAACCCCGAUUGCGAAGGCAGCUUACUAAACUGUGACUGACACUGAUGCUCGAAAGUGUGGGGAUCAAACAGGAUUAGAUACCCUUGUAGUC
rnacentral:rRNA from 1 species